UGCCGCGUGGCGCAAUGGUUAACGCGCUUGCCUACGGAGCAGAAGAUUGCUGGUCCGAGUCCUGCCGUGAUCG
rnacentral:tRNA from 1 species